GACAGAGGAUGCAAGCGUUAUCCGGAAUGAUUGGGCGUAAAGCGUCUGUAGGUGGCUUUUAAGUCCGCCGUCAAUCCCAGGCUCAACCCUGGACAGGCGGUGGAAACUACCAAGCUGGAGUACGGUAGGGCAGAGGGAAUUUCCGGUGGAGCGGUGAAAUGCGUAGAGAUCGGAAGAACACCAACGGCGAAAGCACUCUGCUGGCCGACACUGACACUGAGAGACGAAAGCUAGGGAGCGAAUGG
rnacentral:rRNA from 1 species